UACAGAGGGUGCGAGCGUUGUCCGGAAUCACUGGGCGUAAAGGGCGCGUAGGUGGCGACCCAAGUCAAUGGUGAAAGCCCGGGGCUCAACCCCGGGUCGGCCGUGCGGACUGUGGGGCUGGAGCACUGUAGAGGCGGGUGGAAUUCCGGGUGUAGCGGUGGAAUGCGUAGAGAUCCGGAAGAACACCGGUGGCGAAGGCGGCCCGCUGGGCAGUGGCUGACGCUGAGGCGCGACAGCGUGGGGAGCAAACAGG
rnacentral:rRNA from 1 species